rnacentral:rRNA from 1 species
UACGUAGGGGGCUAGCGUUGUCCGGAUUUAUUGGGCGUAAAGCGCGUGUAGGCGGCCGUGCAAGUCGCGUGUGAAAGCCCCCGGCUCAACUGGGGAGGGUCACGCGAUACUGCUCGACUUGAAGGCAGGAGAGGGAAGUGGAAUUCCCGGUGUAGUGGUGAAAUGCGUAGAUAUCGGGAGGAACACCAGUGGCGAAGGCGACUUCCUGGCCUGUUCUUGACGCUGAGGCGCGAAAGCUAGGGUAGCAAACGGG